GUAGGUGGCAAGCGUUGUCCGGAAUUAUUGGGCGUAAAGCGCGCGCAGGCAGUCCUUUAAGUCUGAUGUGAAAGCCCACGGCUCAACCGUGGAGGGUCAUUGGAAACUGGGGGACUUGAGUACAGAAGAGGAAAGCGGAAUUCCAAGUGUAGCGGUAAAAUGCGUAGAGAUUUGGAGGAACACCAGUGGCGAAGGCGGCUUUCUGGUCUGUAACUGACGCUGAGGCGCGAAAGCGUGGGGAGCAAACAGGAUUAGAUACCCUGGUAGUCCACGCCGUAAACGAUGAGUGCUAAGUGUUAGGGGGUUUCCGCCCCUUAGUGCUGCAGCUAACGCAUUAAGCACUCCGCCUGGGGAGUACGGCCGCAAAGGCUG
rnacentral:rRNA from 1 species